GAUGAACGCUGGCGGCGUGCCUAAUACAUGCAAGUCGAGCGAACAGACGAGGAGCUUACUCCUCUGACGUUAGCGGCGGACGGGUGAGUAACACGUGGAUAACCUACCUAUAAGACUGGGAUAACUUCGGGAAACCGGAGCUAAUACCGGAUAAUAUAUUGAACCGCAUGGUUCAACAGUGAAAGACGGCUUUGCUGUCACUUAUAGAUGGAUCCGCGCCGCAUUAGCUAGUUGGUAAGGUAACGGCUUACCAAGGCAACGAUGCGUAGCCGACCUGAGAGGGUGAUCGGCCACACUGGAACUGAGACACGGUCCAGACUCCUACGGGAGGCAGCAGUAGGGAAUCUUCCGCAAUGGGCGAAAGCCUGACGGAGCAACGCCGCGUGAGUGAUGAAGGUCUUCGGAUCGUAAAACUCUGUUAUUAGGGAAGAACAAAUGUGUAAGUAACUAUGCACGUCUUGACGGUACCUAAUCAGAAAGCCACGGCUAACUACGUG
rnacentral:rRNA from 1 species